CACGGAGUUAGCCGAUCCUUAUUCUUACCGUACGUUCAGCUCCUCUCGCAAGAGAAGGUUUAUUCCGGUACAAAAGCAGUUUACAACCCAUAGGGCCGUCUUCCUGCACGCGGCAUGGCUGGUUCAGGCUUGCGCCCAUUGACCAAUAUUCCUUACUGCUGCCUCUCGUAGGAGUCUGGUCCGUGUCUCAGUACCAGUGUGGGGGGUCAUCCUCUCAGAUCCCCUAGACAUCGUGGUCUUGGUGAGCCGUUACCUCACCAACUAACUAAUGUCACGCAUGCUCAUCUUAAUCCUAUAAAUAUUUGAUUAUUCAGUGAUGCCACUAAAUAAUAUUAUGCGGUGUUAAUCCGGAUUUCUCCGGGCUAUCCCCUGAUUAAGGUAGAUUGCAUACGCGUUACGCACCCGUGCGCCGGUCUCUGGGUUGCAAGCAACCCAUACCCCUCGACUUGCAUGUAUUAGGCCUGCCGCUAGCGUUCAUCCUGAGCCAGGACUAA
rnacentral:rRNA from 1 species